UCUACUCUUCAAUUUAAUAUUAAUGAUACUCUUAUAUGUGAAAAAAGAAAAAAAACCCCAGAAAAUACGCAACAUCAUCAUCAAUAUCAUUAUUAUAUCAUCAUCAUAAUCGCCAUCAGAGACAGAUAUAUCUCUUAGCUCUCAUUCUCUCUCUGUUGUUUUUCAGCUUUUCUAGAACAUACCCACAUUUUCCAUCUCUUCUCCUUUGUUUACAUACAUAUAAAAUUAUAAAGCCCAUCAUAUAAGUUACUCUUCAAUCCCUUUCCUCUUUGUUUGUUUCAUCAAAGAUUUGACCGUUUUCCUUUUUGAUCCAUGAUCAUUCCCUAAUUUGGGAUUUAAAUGCAAUUUAGGGUUCCCAAAAUUGAGUUUUUUUCCUGUUUUAGCUGAAGCUGAAGAAGAAUUGUGUAAUUUCAAUCUAAGUCAAAGGGGGCCCUUUUCAUUUUGUGGGUAUUAAGAACAAAAAAAUAUGCUAGCUUUGAAGCAACUCAAGUGUGUGGUGAUUCUUGUUGCUUUGAGUUGUGUAUGUACUGCUAUAUAAUUGGAUUUGGUUUUUGGUUCUUUCUUGGAUUUGAAUGCUGGAAUAGUUGGUUCCCGAGCCAGGGGCUCGGGUUUUGAUUGUAUCAUAUUUUGGGAUAUCAGUACAAAACUUUACCAAUGGCAACUUGUGAUAUGGAAUCUCAACAUCACCAGGAACAAGACCAGUUUUCACCAAUUCGACAAGGGUUUAUGCAGAAAUUCAGGCUCUAUCAAACUUUAUCGAAAUUUUACAUGAUAGGAAGGGACAAAAGUAGAACACACUGGAGAGUGUUGAAAAUUGAUAGGAUGGAGCCUUAUGAGCUUAACAUACGUGAAGAUUCCACUACCUAUACUGAACGUGAGUGCUCUGACUUGUUGAGAAGGAUACACGAGGGUAACAGGUCUACAGGAGGUCUGAAAUUUGUCACUACCUGUUACGGCAUUGUCGGGUUCAUCAAAUUUCUGGGGCCUUAUUACAUGCUUCUUAUCACGAAAAGGAGGGAGAUUGGCGCUAUUUGUGGUCACUCUGUGUAUGCUGUCACUAAGAGUGAAAUGAUCCCGCUUCCAAAUGCCGCAACAAGGUCAAAGAUGGUUAAUUAUAGGAGUGAAAACAGGUACAAGAAACUCCUUUGCAUGGUGGACCUUACGAAGGACUUCUUCUUCAGUUACUCAUACCAUAUUAUGAGGAGUCUACAGAAGAACAUGUGCAAUAAUGAGACUGGACCAGACAUUUAUGAGACCAUGUUUGUCUGGAAUGAAUAUCUGACGCGUACAGUACGAAAUCUCCUUCACAACACUACUUGGACAGUGGCAUUGGUUUAUGGAUUCUUCAAGCAGGUGAUUCAUCUGGAUACUUUGUCUCUCUCUGGGCGGGACUUCAAGUUGACUCUAAUAGCAAGACGUUCACGUCAUUAUGCUGGUACCAGAUAUCUGAAACGAGGCGUAAAUGAAAAGGGUAGAGUUGCAAAUGAUGUUGAGACUGAGCAGAUUCUAUUUGAGGAUGUUCCAGAAGAUUUCCCAGUGCAUAUUAGUUCUGCUGUUCAAAAUCGUGGGUCUAUCCCGCUCUUUUGGUCUCAGGAAACUUCACGACUAAAUAUCAAGCCCGAUAUUAUAUUGUCAAAGAGGGACCAGACAUAUGAAGCUACGAGACUUCAUUUCGAGGAUCUUGCUAAGAGAUAUGGGAACCCCAUCAUUAUUUUGGAUCUGAUUAAGACCCAAGAAAAAAAGCCUCGGGAGUCUAUCCUUCGCACCGAAUUUGCUAAUGCAAUUGAAUACAUCAAUAAAGAUCUGUCUGAGGAGAAUCGACUUAGAUUUCUCCACUGGGAUUUGAACAAGCAUUCACGAAGCAAAGCUACAAAUGUCUUGUUUUCUCUGGGAAAAGUGGCUACAUAUGCAUUGAAUUUGACUGGUUUCUUCUAUUGUCAAGUAACACCAGCCUUAAGAUCUGAGGGAUGUCUGAAAUGGCCCAUAUUUGAGAAUGCUGCUGCUAGUAAUAUGGUUCCUUUGAAACAUUUUGACCCUGAUGUUGAGAAACAAUAUAAUAAUGACGUCGAUGACUCAGAUAACUCAGAGGGAAAAUCUAGUGGAUGUAAUAAUGUGAGUAAUGGCUAUCCUUCAAUGAAACCACCAAUGUUCCAAGGGGGGGUGCUAAGGACAAAUUGCAUAGAUUGUCUGGAUCGUACUAACGUGGCACAAUCUGCAUAUGGAUUGGCUGCUUUGGGUCAUCAACUCCAUGUUUUAGGAGUUACAAAUUCAACAAAGAUAGACCUUGAUGAUCCUUUGGCAGAAGAAUUAACGGGGUUCUAUCAGAGGAUGGGUGAUACACUUGCUCAUCAAUAUGGUGGCUCUGCAGCUCACAGCAAGAUAUUUUCAGCGAAGAGGGGCCAGUGGAAAGCUGCAAUUCAAUCGCAGGAGUUCUUUAGAACUCUUCAGAGAUAUUACAGCAAUGCCUACAUGGAUACAGAAAAACAAAAUGCUAUUAAUGUGUUUUUGGGACACUUUCAGCCGCAAGAGGGUGGACGUGAUAUAUGGGAACUGGACUCCGAUCAGCAUUACUUUGUGGGUAGGAAUGGGGAGAGCUAUGCUGGUGACAAUGGAAGGUCGCUCUUCCAAAGAUCAUUCUCAGAUGGGAAUAUUCUUCAUGAAAGCCAAUUUCCCAUAUCGGCUCGCAGUAUUGGAAAGGGUCUUUCUAAGUCUAACCUGUCUCAUCAGUCAAAAGAAGGGAGCAAAGUGCUCUCUGAAUCGACACCAGAAAUAUCAACUUGUGGAAGUGAUUUGACAUAUUCAAGGUAUGCUCAAACAGUUCCUGCAAGGGAACUUUUUGUAGAAAUGCAAAGAGAUCAAUCCCUGGAACACCGAAAUGCAGAUGCAUAUGACUGCUCCAACUUUGUUGACUUAGAUUGGUUGUCUUCUUCUGGGAAUUCCUGUGAGGAAGAGUUAUUGGACAGGUCAUUGUUCACAAACUCGCCAAUAGGUGGACUAUCAUCAGAGAAUGUUGUCAGUGACAUAGUGGGGGAAACAACAACUCCAUUCUCCAGUGAAGGUGGAUGUAGCAUGAAUGUUGGUAUUUCAGUUACUUCACAAGGAAUCGAAAAUGCUGGAGCAGAGGCAUCCUAUAGUGAUGCCCAGAACUUUGUAGUUGUCGAGGAACUUUCAGAUAGCUUUGUACGUUGGGUAAACUAUGGAGAGACACUGUGUCAUUGAUGCCUCCGAACAUUGUAAUUCAUGCCUUCCUGCGAGUCGUGUUAGUAAACGUGCCGACACCUUCAACUCAUUCUAGCACUGGCAUGCCUCAUGUUUGGAGAAGUGUUGCGGGGACAGUUUAGGAGGAAACACACCAUAUCUGUUGUAUCAGCAUUCUUUUUACAAUAUUUCCUGACUAAGCAACCAUCUAGGCUUGCAUUUAUUUGAUUGUUGAAAUCAUCAGUCUAGUUGGAUACCACUAGUACAUAGCCAACAGUUAUAAAAUUCUUUCUGGAACUCUUUUCACGGAAUGUAGGUUCCAAUGUUGUAAAUAGACAGGUUUGACUUGCUAAAGCUCCAUUCGACAAUUGUAGACCAAUUUUUCAGUGCAAACACAUACUUCCAUAUAUUGGAAGUGACAUCUAAUCGUGAAAUAAUUACAGGUUUGACUUGCUAAAGCUCCAUUCGACAA